CUUAGUCUCAGAAUCAUAAUUAAUUAAAUUUUAAGGGACAGAAAUCUAAUAAAAUCUGACUUACUUAAAAAGGGGAACUUAUUGGUUCACAGAAACACGCUGCAGCAAGAGUCAACUGGGGACUCUUGGUUGACGAGAGCCAGGAAUGUGACCUGCAUUGAAAUUUGCUCUUUCAGAGUCAGUGCAGUUGAGUGUGAUGGAAACUCUUCUUUAGAAAAGAAAAAAGAAACAUCAUCCAGGGUACCUGCAUUCUCCUUUCCUCGCAGGACUGCACUUGCUCAGUGGACUUUUGAGCAAAGCAUGGUGGCAGGCACACAGCACAACCCUGGGCUCCAGAGCCUGCCUUUCCCUUCACCUGGAUAUCAACCCUAAAGUUCCAUUUUUCCAGACAGAGCAACCUGGCUUGAGCUCCAUCUUCAGCGCAAUAAUGUAAGUGGACUCACCAUCCCAUGUGCCUCUCCCUGGGAUCCUCAACUAUUCUCAGGGAUGGCCCCAGCAGCCUGGCUGGCACAGUGUGACUCUUGCCCUGCAGUCAUAUGUGUUUGAGUCUAGGCUAGUCAUGUGACGUAAGUUUGGCCUGUCAUAUCCUCUUUAGCAGAAAUUUUAAUAUGAAGAAUUAACUGAGGCAGGCACUGGGGUGGCUGGAGCAUAGCUAAGCUGAUGGCAGCAUUUGGAGGGAAGAGUUUCCUUUCUCUGCUGAGCUUUCUGGUUGCUUCCCACCUCACUGGGGUGCUCAGUUCUUCCUGGAAAUCAUGAGGUGUCCACUCACAUUUUGGUAGAUCCUAUUUGUUGCUUAGAUAUUGAAGUUAAAGUUAAGCAGUUGGUUUCCAUUGGUUGCAGAAAACAGAACUUUAGUGAUUAUACUCACUUGCUUUUUUACCCCAAAUUAUGAGAACACUUAAGCCCUUUACGUUUAGUCACAAGCAGAAGGAAAGAGGAGGCUGGCGAUGAGUGACAGGUUUUCUUUGGAGGGGUAGGAGGAUACUAGUGACUCCUUAAUUCAAACAUUUGGAAAUUCCCAUUUUGUAGCAGCAAAGCUCAACCUAAAUAACUUUUUGGACAUUUCAAGAAACUCUAAAUAAUGCAGAACAAUAAAAUGCUUUGUUUCUAACCAAUACUCAAUCUUGCAAAGCCUGGUGUUCAAAAGAGAUCAGUGAGAUUUAAGAGUUUUAGCUGAACUCUGGAUCUAUACAAUUUUGAACGUCAGAAAUUUCAAUCCUUUCUGACCUUCUAAAAAGAAUAUCCAUCUGGGACCAUUCAGCAAAGAAAAUAAAAUUCUGGCCUCCAGGCAGUUCUGCAUCUGUAGGCAUAAGAAGCAUUUUUCCUAACCAUUAUACUUUCUUGGGUGGCUUCGAGCCCCCAUGCCCCAGGACUGUCCAGCUGUGCGAGUCAGCCUGGAUCGUGCUCCCUGUUCCACCUGAAGCCAUGCAGGCAAAGGCUGCAGCAUGAGGCUUCCCAAGCUGUGUUCAGAUGCUGUGCCUUUCCUCUCAUCUCAUCUACAGGUCAAGCCCAGGUAAGAUGAAGGCCCUGCCCUUUGCAGGGACCUUGUGAGAUGCAGGAGCAGCUUCCGCAGAGAGAUGCAGACACUAAAGUCCCGUGUAGGUGAAGCCUCGGAAGCUGGUCCACCAUGUUCUGCCAGAACAGGGGAAUCAUCAUCCUUAGAACCACCCGGAAGCACGAGUUGUCAGAUGGAGACAGGGCCUCAUAAAUCAGCCAGCACAAACCCCUGGUUGGACAGCAGGUAGGGUGGCAGCCCUGACACUCACAAGGAUUGCCUGGGGCUGCAGCUUAUUAGUGGUGCCUCGAAGCAGCUAGAAUCUGGGUGUCCCCAGGAGAUCUUUCCACACCUGCUGGCUUCUUUCAUGGUGCUGUUUGCCUGCUGGUGCCUGGUGAGGGCCCCUGGUGAG
ensembl:lncRNA